GACGAACGCUGGCGGCGUGCUUAACACAUGCAAGUCGAACGAAGUGACGAAAGGGUGACUAAUACGUGAGUAACCUGCCUUCCCUUACGGGUUAAGCCUUGGACACGGGGUCUAACAUCGAAUCAAGGGGGAUGGGGUAGCGGCCUAUCAGCUUGUUGGGUGGGUGAUGGCCUACCAAGGGGGUGCCGGGUAGCCGGCCUGAAAGGGUGACCGGCCACAUUGGGACUAGGGUACGGGCCAGGCUGCUACUGGGGGCAGCAGUGGGGGAUAUUGCACGAUGGGCGAAAGCCUGAUGCGGCGACGCCGCGUGGGAAAUGAAGGCUUUCGGGUUGUAAACCGCUUUCGCUAGCGAACGGGUAGGUGGAGAAGAAGCGCCGGCUUACUACGUGCCAGCAGCCGCGGUAAUUC
rnacentral:rRNA from 1 species